rnacentral:sRNA from 1 species
GCGGAGGAAAAGAAACCAACAGGGAUUGCCCCAGUAACGGCGAGUGAAGCGGCAACAGCUCAAAUUUGAAAUCUGGUCCCCUCUGGGGGCCCGAGUUGUAAUUUGAAGAGGAUGCUUUUGGCGAGGCGCCUUCCGAGUGCCCUGGAACGGGACGCCACAGAGGGUGAGAGCCCCGUAUGGUAGGACGCCGAGCCUCUGUAAAGCUCCUUCGACGAGUCGAGUAGUUUGGGAAUGCUGCUCAAAAUGGGAGGUAAACCCCUUCUAAAGCUAAAUAUUGGCCAGAGACCGAUAGCGCACAAGUAGAGUGAUCGAAAGAUGAAAAGCACUUUGAAAAGAGAGUUAAACAGCACGUGAAAUUGUUGAAAGGGAAGCGCUUGCGACCAGACUUGCGCCCGUCGGAUCAACCGUCCCUCGUGGGCGGCGCACUCCGGCGGGCUCAGGCCAGCAUCAGUUUUCCCGGGGGGAGAAAGGCGGUGGGAAUGUAGCUCCUCGGAGUGUUAUAGCCCGCCGCGUAAUGCCCUCGGGGGGACUGAGGACCGCGCGUAUGCAAGGAUGCUGGCGUAAUGGUCGUCAGCGACCCGUCUUGAAACACGGACCAAGGAGUCGUCCUAAUAUGCGAGUGUACGGGUGUAAAACCCCUGCGCGUAAUGAAAGUGAACGGAGGUGAGAGCUUCGGCGCAUCAUCGACCGAUCCUGAUGUUCUCGGAUGGAUUUGAGUAAGAGCAUAUUGGGCCGGACCCGAAAGAAGGUGAACUAUGCCUGUAUAGGGUGAAGCCAGAGGAAACUCUGGUGGAGGCUCGCAGCGGUUCUGACGUGCAAAUCGAUCGUUUGAAGUGAACGUCGUGACAAGUGAUC